UCGAGAUAUAAGAGCAAUAAUAUGUAUAACAAGUUUGUUUGCACAAGAGAGAGAGAGUUGUAUAUUCUCAGUAAGGAAAUACACAUCAAUCUUUACAAAGGGAGAAGGUCCACAUUAUAUACUAAGGGACCUUCUUUGAAAUAGUACCAAAAAAAGUACAAGAGUUGGUGGCAUCGAUAUAUGAGUAUCAGAGCUUGAUGUGAUAUUACAGUGAGUCACAUCACUUAGUCCGUUUAUUGACUGGGAUCGGCCUUACUUAAGUCGACCAUGAUAAGGUCGCCUUCUUUAGCGGGACCGUAUGUGAACAAUAUAUGGACGUGGGGAACCAAAUUUGCCCAGUACACUAGUCAUGGGAUCUGCUAUGUUGAGUUGAAUAAUUAUAGUGUGUACUCUUGAGUCUAAGAGUGCAUAAAAAAUGAUAUUUCAAAACAUAACACAUUCAUGCAUUAAUCUUACUUAGGUACUUCCGCUGCUUUUAGCCAUAUUGCUAAGAUAAAAUAAACCUAAAAAAAUUCAUAUCUAAUAGCUACACUUAUUUAAUCAUACAAACAAUAGAUAAGCAGCACAAGCAAAGUUCUAUGGGCAUCAUUCAGUUAUAUAAACAACAACAAAGCCACGAUUUUCUAUAGUUAAAUAAAAGAGAAAACACACAUGAUUUAUAUCGGAACAAAAUGACAAACUUUACGUCCAAAAAAUAUUGAAGGAUUAAAAAUUAGAAAGAAACUGGACUUUUUUAGGGCAGUGAAACUGGGGCAUCUUCAAGGGACUAUCUCAUGCCUCAAUUCAUUGAUCCCGAAGGCACGAAAUCGCAGGGAAAAAAAAAGCCAAGCAGUGCCAGGAACAAACAGAGAAAGAGAAGUAUGAAAGAAAGCUAAAAUUUCUCUGUUUUGGAGUAAAAUGGAGGUUGAAGCUUUAACUUAGGGAGGAUAGAGGGGGCGGCUUAAAGCUCUAUUUUGGGGUGAAAAUGAGUGGCUGAACUCUAAGGCUUUUAGGGGGUAAAUGGGGGCCGCUCCGAGCUCUCUACGAUGGAUGGAAAUGGGCAGCUAAACCUUAAGGUUUUAAGGGUAAAAUGGGACAACUGAAGCUUACAUUCAGGGGGGUUAAAAGGGCGGCCCCGAGCUUAAGGUUAAAGGAUGGGUUCAAGCCUGUCCAAAAUUGUUGAGGAUGUUAGUAUUUAUAGAGGUCCUCUAGGGUUAAAGAGCUUCAAAAUUUGAACGUUUAAAUCCAAACGUUGGGGAGAACAUACGCUCCUUUGUUUGAAAUAGGCGUGCACAAUUCUGAGCUCGAAUUUUUAAAGGUCAAAACUUUUUCAAAAAUGGAGAAAAAGGACAAAAGCAGUCUCUCAUUGUAGAAGAAGAAAGAGACGAUAGAGAUAGAAAGAGAGAAGGG
rnacentral:lncRNA from 1 species